rnacentral:piRNA from 1 species
UCUGCAUUCAUUCCCUAGGGCUGCUGUGA